rnacentral:misc_RNA from 1 species
CGGAUAGGGAAUUUUGUGUUUCGAAGAGGAGGAAGAUCUGUAGGUCUAUGAGGUCGCAUUUGGCAUCUGGGGUUUGGAAUUUAAGCAGGGAACAAGGAAAUAAGCUGCUACGGAGCCGAUUUCGAGGUGAUUCUCUUUACAUUUGUGAUUGGCCUGGAUGUGUUCACAUUGAAGAGAAGCGGAAUUACAUGCUUUUCAGAGGGAUUUUCAAGAACUUCAAAGGAUCUCAUGUUUGGAGAACGAUAAAAGAUGGGAAUAGGAACAAAAUUGAUCUGAAUUGUGCGUUUUGCUCUUGUAAAGAG